AGGCUUAACACAUGCAAGUCGAGGGGCAGCGCGGGGCGGCAACGUCCUGGCGGCGACCGGCGGAAGGGUGCGUAACGCGUGAGCGACAUGCCCGUUGCCCGGGGACAACCGGUGGAAACGCCGACUAAUCCCCGAUGGGACGGAGGCCCUCAUGGGUCUCUGUUGAAAGUUACGGCGGUACAGGAUGGACCCGCGUCUGAUUAGCUAGUUGGUAAGGUAACGGCCCACCAAGGCUACGAUCGGUAGGGGUUCUGAGAGGAAGGUCCCCACAAUGGAACUGAGACACGGUCCAUACUCC
rnacentral:rRNA from 1 species